rnacentral:rRNA from 2 species
UGGGAAUUUAAUUCCCGGCGGGCGUAUUUAAUGUAGUUGGUGGAGGUUAAGGCAUCAGACGAUGGAUACGUAGCCGACUGAGAGGGCUAUCCGUCACAUCGACUGAGACACGGCCAACUCUACGGGAGGCAGCAGUAGGAAUCUCACCAAUUGGACGAAAGUCUGAUGAGCAAUGCCGCGUGAGUGAAGAAGGGUUUCGGCUCGUAAAACUCUGUUGUUAAAGAAGAACACCUUUGAGAGUAACUGUUCAAGGGUUGACGGUAUUUAACCAGAAAGCCACGGCUAACUACGUGCCAGCAGCCGCGGUAAUACGUAGGUGGCAAGCGUUGUCCGGAUUUAUUGGGCGUAAAGCGAGCGCAGGCGGUUUUUUAAGUCUGAUGUGAAAGCUUCGGCUUAACCGGAGAAGUGCAUCGGAAACUGGGAGACUUGAGUGCAGAAGAGGACAGUGGAACUCCAUGUGUAGCGGUGGAAUGCGUAGAUAUAUGGAAGAACACCAGUGGCGAAGGCGGCUGUCUAGUCUGUAACUGACGCUGAGGCUCGAAAGCAUGGGUAGCGAACAGGAUUAGAUACCCUGGUAGUCCAUGCCGUAAACGAUGAGUGCUAAGUGUUGGAGGGUUUCCGCCCUUCAGUGCUGCAGCUAACGCAUUAAGCACUCCGCCUGGGGAGUACGACCGCAAGGUUGAAACUCAAAGGAAUUGACGGGGGCCCGCACAAGCGGUGGAGCAUGUGGUUUAAUUCGAAGCUACGCGAAGAACCUUACCAGGUCUUGACAUCUUCUGCCAAUCUUAGAGAUAAGACGUUCCCUUCGGGGACAGAAUGACAGGUGGUGCAUGGUUGUCGUCAGCUCGUGUCGUGAGAUGUUGGGUUAAGUCCCGCAACGAGCGCAACCCUUAUUAUCAGUUGCCAGCAUUCAGUUGGGCACUCUGGUGAGACUGCCGGUGACAAACCGGAGGAAGGUGGGGAUGACGUCAAAUCAUCAUGCCCCUUAUGACCUGGGCUACACACGUGCUACAAUGGACGGUACAACGAGUUGCGAAGUCGUGAGGCUAAGCUAAUCUCUUAAAGCCGUUCUCAGUUCGGAUUGUAGGCUGCAACUCGCCUACAUGAAGUUGGAAUCGCUAGUAAUCGCGGAUCAGCAUGCCGCGGUGAAUACGUUCCCGGGCCUUGUACACACCGCCCGUCACACCAUGAGAGUUUGUAACACCCAAAGCCGGUGAGAUAACCUUCGGGAGUCAGCCGUCUAAGCUGAUCAUA